UUUGUGGUAGCGGGGGACUGCGUUCGCGCUUUCCCCUGGUUUUCGUCGCUGUCUGAAAAGCAGAAGGACGGAGGCUUCGGAGUUAAGUAUCUGCGGUUUUCCGCUUUUUUUUUUCUCAGCAGUCUGCAGCGUUCUCCAGCGUCGUGGCGGCUUCGGAACAGGGCGUCUGCGUUUUGCUUAGCUGGGCGUAGGUGCUUGUUCUCUUGGUGUCCCAGCGCGGCCCGCUUCUCGGCGUCAGCGAGUCUCUGCUGCGUUGGCGCACAGGGACGGAUAAGGUCUUGCUCCGCGCCCUACUCGACGCCGAAGCUUUCAGGAGAACGGCGCUGGGGCAUCCUCCUGUGGGCGGCGAGGGCGUGUGCUCGCCCUUGUCAUGGUCUGAGGCACACAGCAGGAGCGAGCUCUCAGCCUCCAGUUUGCACCUGCCAUGCUUCAGUAGCCUGGAGAAUUAGGAAUCCUCCUUGAUAUCCCUUCUCCUUAAGUGGGAGUAGGAAUCGUAAACAACACAACCUCCCCACUCCCACCCCCAUGCCCACCCCACCGUCAGAAGUAACUUUAGUUUUUCCCCUGUCCCAAAGUGCCGGGAUAUUGUGAAACCGAGAACGAAGAAGUUGAAAAGACUCUUCCCUGGCCUAGAAGAAGAGAGAGAAAAACAAAACUUCGAGAUAAGCUUUGCUAACUGCAGCUGUGCAUACUCAGCAUAAUCAACUGUGGUUCGAAAACAACCAGGUCUUUCUGUCCCUCCUUAGUAUGGCAGGGAGCUGUCUUUCCCGGAAAGUCAAGGUCCAGACAUCAAGAUUCUGCCUCACAAGCCCAAGCAGGCUGAAGAUGAAAACUAACCAGAAAAGUCCAGACAGUUAGGGGAAGACAAAUUCAGUCUUCAAGGCCAAACCCAGGCUGGUGGCCACCCACGCCCCCUCCCCUACCUAAAACCCCUACCUUUUUCCCUUCGAGGAGACGGAUCUAAGUUUUCACUCUCAUCUCCACGUCUGGCCGCCUUUGGAUAAUAAACCUCUUCUCUUGCCACA
rnacentral:lncRNA from 1 species